rnacentral:rRNA from 1 species
AACGUGUCCUGGAGUGGGGGAUAGCCCGGCGAAAGCCGGAUUAAUACCGCAUACGCUCUGAGGAGGAAAGGGGGGGAUCUUUCGGGACCUCUCGCUCAAGGGGCGGCCGAUGGCAGAUUAGCUAGUUGGUGGGGUAAAGGCCUACCAAGGCGACGAUCUGUAGCUGGUCUGAGAGGACGACCAGCCACACUGGGACUGAGACACGGCCCAGACUCCUACGGGAGGCAGCAGUGGGGAAUUUUGGACAAUGGGCGCAAGCCUGAUCCAGCAAUGCCGCGUGUGUGAAGAAGGCCUUCGGGUUGUAAAGCACUUUUGUCCGGAAAGAAAACCUUCGCCCUAAUACGGUGGGGGGAUGACGGUACCGGAAGAAUAAGCACCGGCUAACUACGUGCCAGCAGCCGCGGUAAUACGUAGGGUGCAAGCGUUAAUCGGAAUUACUGGGCGUAAAGCGUGCGCAGGCGGUUCGCUAAGACAGAUGUGAAAUCCCCGGGCUUAACCUGGGAACUGCAUUUGUGACUGGCGGGCUAGAGUAUGGCAGAGGGGGGUAGAAUUCCACGUGUAGCAGUGAAAUGCGUAGAGAUGUGGAGGAAUACCGAUGGCGAAGGCAGCCCCCUGGGCCAAUACUGACGCUCAUGC